rnacentral:rRNA from 1 species
AUUGAACGCUGGCGGCAGGCCUAACACAUGCAAGUCGAACGGUAACAGGAAACAGCUUGCUGUUUCGCUGACGAGUGGCGGACGGGUGAGUCAUGUCUGGGAAACUGCCUGAUGGAGGGGGAUAACUACUGGAAACGGUAGCUAAUACCGCAUAACGUCGCAAGACCAAAGAGGGGGACCUUCGGGCCUCUUGCCAUCUGAUGUGCCCAGAUGGGAUUAGCUAGUAGGUGGGGUAACGGCUCACCUAGGCGACGAUCCCUAGCUGGUCUGAGAGGAUGACCAGCCACACUGGAACUGAGACACGGUCCAGACUCCUACGGGAGGCAGCAGUGGGGAAUAUUGCACAAUGGGCGCAAGCCUGAUGCAGCCAUGCCGCGUGUAUGAAGAAGGCCUUCGGGUUGUAAAGUACUUUCAGCGGGGAGGAAGGGAGUAAAGUUAAUACCUUUACUCAUUGACGUUACCCGCAGAAGAAGCACCGGCUAACUCCGUG